rnacentral:rRNA from 1 species
GACGAACGCUGGCGGCGUGCUUAACACAUGCAAGUCGAACGAGAGGACAAGAGAAGCUUGCUUCUUUGGAAUCGAGUGGCAAACGGGUGAGUAACACGUAAACAACCUGCCUUCAGGAUGGGGACAACAGACGGAAACGACUGCUAAUACCGAAUACGCUUGGGAGACCGCAUGAUCUUCCAAGGAAAGGGUGGCCUCUACUUGUAAGCUAUCGCCUGAAGAGGGGUUUGCGUCUGAUUAGGCAGUUGGUGAGGUAACGGCCCACCAAACCUACGAUCAGUAGCCGGUCUGAGAGGAUGAACGGCCACACUGGAACUGAGACACGGUCCAGACUCCUACGGGAGGCAGCAGUGGGGAAUCUUCCGCAAUGGACGAAAGUCUGACGGAGCAACGCCGCGUGAGUGAUGACGGCCUCGGGUUGUAAAGCUCUGUGAUCGGGGACGAAGUGGCUGGUAUGCUAAUACCAUAUCAGAGUGA